UACAGAGGGUGCGAGCGUUGUCCGGAAUCACUGGGCGUAAAGGGCGCGUAGGCGGUUUGCCAAGUCAGGGGUGAAAUCCUGCAGCUCAACUGUAGAAGUGCCUUUGAUACUGGCGAACUCGAGGGAGGUAGGGGUGGGUGGAACUUCUGGUGGAGCGGUGAAAUGCGUUGAUAUCAGAAGGAACGCCGGUGGCGAAAGCGACCCACUGGAUCUCUACUGACGCUGAGGCGCGAAAGCUAGGGGAGCAAACGGG
rnacentral:rRNA from 1 species